AGAUGUGAGGGCGAUCUGGUUGCGACAUCUGUCACCCCAAUUGAUCACCAGGGUUGAUUCGGCUGAUCUGGCUGACUAGGCGGGUGUCCCCUUCCUCACUGCUCCAUGUGUGUCCCUCCAGAAGCUGCGCACUUGGUGGAAAAGGAUGACCAUCCCCCGUAGAGGAGGACCUGUCUUCUGUCAAGGGUAUACGAGUAGCUGCAUUCCCCUGCUAGAACCUCCAAACAAGCUCUCAAGAAACAGCACUUGCCUGGAAACAUUUUACUUAAAAAUCCUGCUUUGAGGAGGAAUAAGUAUGAAAUAAAUGGGUGACUUAAGUCUUCGAAGAAAAGAGUCUUCCGAACAGAUUG
ensembl:misc_RNA 7SK 7SK RNA